rnacentral:misc_RNA from 1 species
GAUGAAGAACGUAGCGAAAUGCGAUAAGUAAUGUGAAUUGCAGAAUUCAGUGAAUCAUCGAAUCUUUGAACGCACAUUGCGCCCGUCAGUAUUCUGGCGGGCAUGCCUGUUCGAGCGUCAUUACGCCCCUCAAGUCCCCUGUGGACUUGGUGUUGGGGAUCGGCGAGGCUGGUUUUCCAGCACAGCCGUCCCUUAAAUUAAUUGGCGGUCUCGCCGUGGCCCUCCUCUGCGCAGUAGUGAAACACUCGCAACAGGAGCCCGGCGCGGUCCACUGCCGUAAAACCCCCCAACUUUUUAUAGUUGACCUCGAAUCAGGUAGGACUACCCGCUGAACUUAAGCAUAUCAAUAAGCGGAGGA